CCUUCAUUUCCCUCCCUCUCCAUCGGCGUCUCCUAGUUCGUUCUCUUCGAAGCAGUCAUUUGAUCGAUCUCCCUCCAAUAGCCAACGGGAAUAGAAGAAAUCAGAGCACGAAGUCAGAGGAAACCACACCACUGGCCGGUUCGUCAGCCGGUGUCAUAGUCUCUAUGGUGAAUGCUUCUGGAAACAACAUGCAAGAUGGCCUAAAAUUUACCAAAAAUUUGGCUAAAGAUUGCCGGCUCAAUGGCACUGCAUUCCGCCUUGGGGUUAAGUAUAAUGGGUUAAGUAUAAUACAACACGUAAUCACUACCUUUAUUAAAUCUAGGCCCCUGCUUGUAUUGACAUAUUGUUGAUGGAGGCUUACUAGGAUUUCUAUGUUAAUGAUAGUGUACUUCUCAUGAUUCCUGACAUCUUUCAUGGUAGGAUAUGCAGGCAUACUGAAAAUUCCUUGUUCCUGAUCCAAUUUAUGAGUGGUAUGUAGGACA